UACGUAGGGUGCGAGCGUUGCCCGGAAUUAUUGGGCGUAAAGGGCUCGUAGGCGGUUUGUCGCGUCGGGAGUGAAAACCAUGGGCUUAACUCAUGGCUUGCUUCCGAUACGGGCAGACUAGAGGUAUGCAGGGGAGAACGGAAUUCCUGGUGUAGCGGUGAAAUGCGCAGAUAUCAGGAGGAACACCGGUGGCGAAGGCGGUCUCUGGGCAUUACCUGACGCUGAGGAACGAAAGCCAGGGUAGCGAACGGG
rnacentral:rRNA from 1 species